GUAGUCCGGAUUGGAGUCUGCAACUCGACUCCAUGAAGUCGGAAUCGCUAGUAAUCGUGGAUCAGAAUGCCACGGUGAAUACGUUCCCGGGCCUUGUACACACCGCCCGUCACACCAUGGGAGUGGGUUGCAAAAGAAGUAGGUAGCUUAACCUUCGGGAGGGCGCUUACCACUUUGUGAUUCAUGACUGGGGUGAAGUCGUAACAAGGUAACCGUAGGGGAACCUGCGGUUGGAUCACCUCCUUACCUGAAAAUAC
rnacentral:rRNA from 1 species